rnacentral:rRNA from 1 species
AGUGAACGCUGGCGGUAUGCCUAACACAUGCAAGUCGAACGGCAGCACAGUAAGAACUUGCUCUUACGGGUGGCGAGUGGCGGACGGGUGAGGAAUACAUCGGAAUCUACUUUUUCGUGGGUGAUAACGUAGGGAAACGUACGCUAAUACCGCAUACGACCUACUGGUGAAAGCAGGGGAUCGUCUGACCUUGCGCGAUUGAAUGAGCCGAUGUGGGAUUAGCUAGUUGGCGGGGUAAGGGCCCACCAAGGCGACGAUCCGUAGCUGGUCUGAGAGGAUGAUCAGCCACACUGGAACUGAGACACGGACCAGAAUCCUACGGGAGGCAGCAGUGGGGCAUCUUGGACAAUGGGCGCAAGCCUGAUCCAGCCAUACCGCGUGGGUGAAGAAGGCCAUCGGGUUGUAAAGCCCUUUUGUUGGGAAAGAAAAGAAGCCUGUUACUACCCAUCUGUUCGGACGGUACCCAAAGAAUAAGCACCGGCUAACUUCGU